UUUGCCUCAAGGCAAACCGUCGGAAACGGCGGGACGCAAAGCUAAAGGGGUGUCGGUGCAAAGCCACGCCAGCCAGCUGCCAAA
rfam:Bdellovibrio bacteriovorus complete genome, strain HD100